AAGAACAGCCUGAGUUCAUGGCAGAGCCAACAAGUUCGGUCAGCAGCUCGGAGCAGGACAGCAGCAGUCCCUCAACCCAUGUCAGUCCAGCACCCAGCCGUCGGACAUUGGAAGAGUCGUACAUUGAGGAACAAACAUCAUCCGACCCAGUUGAGGAACUUCAGGAAUGACCCAUGGCGAAGAGGAGGGGGCUUCAGGCAUGGCUGCCGUAAUAAGGCUCCUGGAGGAAUGAAAGAGGCUCCUAUUGAGGACGACGGAUGACACAAAAAGAACCAUGGAAGAGCACAUGGGGCGAAUGACUAGGAGAAUGGAGGCUAUGGAGAGGAGGAUGGAGGCUAUGGAAAGGAGGAUGGAGGCUAUGGAGAGGAAGUCAGAGACAUUGGAGGCUGCUGUGGUCUCGAACCCGCCUCAGCCUCCUCUGCAGGAAGAUGUGCUGUUGGGCCUAUGCAGCACAGUGGAGGAGCUGGAGGAGCUAGACAGGAGUCUGGCUCAACCAGAAAGAAGGAACCAAAUGAAACGUUUCCUUGAAAGCCUGGGAGGGGCGAAUCCAGGGGCAGCCAUUCGUUGCAUUCUACGCCAGGUGGCUACCAACAAUGUCCUGGUGCAGUACA